GGUGCAUGCGCUUUGAUGUGGAAAAAAAAAAAUCCUAACUUGUACCAAAUCAAAAAAUGAUAUAACUUGUGAGGCAUACCAAUGUGGAUGGCGCUGUUCACCUUGAUGUCGGCAUAAUUUUCGAAAUCACUAUUCAUCUCGAGGCCAUGAUUUCCAAAAGCAAAGGAAGGAAGAAGUUUAGGGCUCCAUUGAUAAUCCAAAAUUCACUUUCUUCUUUUAUUCGCUUCAUAUCCAGAGGAAGGUAACUUUGAGAUUUUUAUUUUUCUAAGAGAUCAGAUAGAGGGAUGUGGACUUGAUUUUGUUAUUUUGGUUUUGGAAAUUUCAUUUUUCGGUUUAAUUUUUUUAUUUAUAUAUUUUUCUUUAUAAAAUCUUGCAUUAUUAAAAUUCUAACAAAUAAAAAUAAUUCUUUAUUAUUUAAAAUCAUAAAAAUUAUCUUUUUUUUUGAGAUGUUAGCUUAUUUUUGCUUAUUCACUCGCAAAACAAUGCAACUUCUCUCUCUCUCUCU
rnacentral:misc_RNA from 1 species